AUAAAAUCCGAAAGAUUGCGCCGGAACUUCCGGAUGACCGUGGUUGCUGUCUUUUCCGCACAACUGGUGCAAACUGCAUCUUCGUUGAAUUGCAAGGAGCGCAUGUAAAAGAAAAGCAAAGACCUGUAGGCCCCAUCUACAUCUAGCCCUGCCUUCCCGGAUUAGAAGGCUAGAGGGACUUUCUGUGCUCCCACUGUAAUCACUGCUUUGAAGAUUGUGGUCACGUAGUAAAGAAUGUGCAUUGUAUGAGAGUGAGGAGAAGACCCACAGCCUGACCAUGUUAGGAUCCUGCUGUCUCAUGUCCAAGUCCCACCAUGUCUAGCCCUUUAGCUGGAAAACUCACUGGCUCUUUUCCAGAUGACCGAGAGCCGUCAAGUUCAAACUCAUCUUCUCCUUUGAAAACGGCAUCGGACUGCCAACAGCACGGUGCUCGUGUCCAAAAUCUCAAGUAUGGACCUGUUGUACAGCAGUAACCAAUGUGAUGUUAGUGCUC